rnacentral:rRNA from 1 species
UACAGAGGGGGCAAGCGUUGUUCGGAAUUACUGGGCGUAAAGGGCACGUAGGCGGCCUCUUAAGUCGAACGUGAAAUCCCCGGGCUCAACCCGGGAACUGCGUCCGAUACUGGGAGGCUUGAAUCCGGGAGAGGGAUGUGGAAUUCCAGGUGUAGCGGUGAAAUGCGUAGAUAUCUGGAGGAACACCGGUGGCGAAGGCGGCGUCCUGGACCGGUAUUGACGCUGAGGCGCGAAAGCCAGGGGAGCAAACGGG